GGGAGCUGAUCACAGAGAUACAGGAAAGACAGGAGGUCUAAGUUUAACCUAAGUGCCGUGUUGCUGAUGAACAUCUUUAUAUGCAAAACCGGAGAACCCAGAGAAAACCCACCAAACGCAGAGAGAAUUUGCAAACUACACACAGAAAUGCCUGCUGAUCCAGCUGCGGCUCGAGUCAGCAUCCUUGCUUAUUGGAUGCCUGAUUGCAGUUCAACUCCAAACUCAGUUGGACCAGCUGAUCAGUGUCUU